GCGGAUAUACGAGACGAUCGUGGGUAGAUCGAUGCAUUUUGCCGCUCAUUGCUUUCCGAUCGAGCGGCUACCGGAGGUAAGUAGAUCGUGUCUCGAUGUUUUCAAGCGUCGCGCCACUGUCGGACGCGCACGCGUGGAACGAGGAUUAUUCCAUGAUCGGGGGAGUGGGUAAUCGGUGCUAUCGUGAUUGUGUCGACGAUCCUCGCCUUUGAUGGGUUCGUUCAGCGCAACUUUGAUCCAGAUUCGAUCUCCUCAGAGAGCUCGGAGGUGCGAGCUCGUCUGUGCGGGCGUUGAAGUCUCUACAGGGUACCGAAUGAGUUUAACGCUGAUGUGAUAUAAUUCCACAAUAUAUUGACUGAUGCAUUACAGAAUAUGAUUAUAUUUAAAAAAAAUAAAGUUGAGUCUAAGUUUUUUAUGAGUUCACCUACGAAGGCACCAGAAUGUAAUCCUUUCGACUUUUAUUCGGAGCACUUUUUAAUAUUAUGAAGAAUACUAUAACUAUAUUCAAGCCCAAAUAUAAUUGAAUUAAUUGUUAAUUAGAAAAUAUGUAACUUUUGUAAAAUUGUAAAUUAUAUUCAAUAAAUGUUAUUUUUCAAUAAA